rnacentral:lncRNA from 10 species
AAAUUUGAGGAACUUAUAAUGAAACCAAGUAAUGAAUCACUAAAUAAUGAAAUCGCCAAAUAAUGAAAUCACCAACUGGAAAUUAGAAGUAAAUGGUCAUAGCAAACCCUAACCAGAUCAUCACUCAGCCUUGGUGAAUUGUUUUGAUUAGAGAGAGAGAGGUCUUUGAGAUGGUUUGCAGUGAGAGCGUCAUGGUUUGUGCAGGCAGGCAGUAUUCUUUUUGUCUUUUUAUUGGGCCAAGGACAUCUACAGAUUUUAUCAAUAGGUGCAUAAAAAUUUGUAGAUGGGGGUGGAACAAAGUUUCAUUCUCUCCAUAGACACAGCACCAAAAUUAUCAAAUUGAACACAUUUCUACUUGAGAAGGCUCAAGAUUUGUCCUUAGCCUGAAUUGUGCAUGUUCUUCCUUUUAAUAUGCAUUUUUUUAAAUGCCAGGGGAAAUUUAAGCGGUGUUUAUUAAAGCAGAAAUGUAUUGAUGACAUGUGUUGGAGGUUUUAUUUCAAUCCCCCGAGUUCUGCAAUGAACAGAUCUGUUUUACACUCAGCCCAGGCAGCCUGAUUUACCCACUGGCCCUUCUGUUGGAUACCUGGUGAUUUUAUUUUUCAUCCGUGAUAUGGUUCGGUUGCCCCCAUUAAAAAACAUAUGUUUAAUUGAAACUUUUAAAGAAAAUUUGAGAAAAUCUUAUUUAAAGAAGUUUAUCACACAUUAUAAAGAACUUUUUGAGACAGAAAAUAUUUUAAGAGGAAAAAAAGCCUUAAUUUUCUAACUGUUUGUAGUGAUGCUCAGUGACAUUGCUUUGAUAUAGAGGAGUAUGAUAAGGGCUGUUAGCUGAUUUUCUGAGAUCAACCCAUUUUAAUGUACUUGUCCAAUAAUUAACUCAAUACUAGAUGAAAGCAGUCUUCCAAAUUCCAACAUUAAGUUUUAAUACCAAGCCAGGUAUGAGGCAUUCAAACUCAUUGCAGCAAACAGGUUUCUAAGUGUGGCUUUUUCUUUCAUGCAGAGAAGGGACUGAUUAGUUUCCCAAACCAUAAAAAUUGUUUUCUUUCUUUUUCUUUUUCUUUUUUUUUUUUUUUUGAGGGGGGCGGGGUGCGGUUCUGAAACUGAUUUCUUGGUUGUCUCCAUUACUCACAAAUCCGCUUGCCAUAUUUGGUAGCAAAGGCAGGGGCUAAACUUAUCUUAGCUGUUGCCCACAAUUUAUGAAGAGAUAAUCCAGUUCAUAGGAAAUGAGGUACUUCAAGUAUUUGAGGAAUGGCAAGUAUUUCUUUGUCAGCAUUGAUUCAGCUUCAAAUACGUCUCCUACUGAUCUCUGGACUACCGCUCUACGCCGCAUUGAUCCAUGCAGGAAUAAUUGUAAAGAGUUUCCAGGAUUUCUUUUACUAUCAGAAAAACAACACCCUGGAAUCACUUUGCCUGUGGUUUAUAGUGAAAACAGCCGUCUGAGCAUUUUGAGCCAAUAGCUUUGGAUAAGGUGUGUAAUUUGUUUGGUGCUAAGUUCUGUGACAUGAAAAGUAAAUUACAAUUGGGAAGGAUAGUGGGAAGAGGGAUACCAUUAUUAAAGAAAAAGAAGAAAAGAAAAAAAUAUUGUUUCAGCAGCAAGGAUUUUUGAGGUUUAAUUCUUCUCCCCACUCCAAAUUUGCUGGCUUGAGGCUACUCAUCGCUUCAUUGCCACCCAUAAAAGCACAUGGAUUUUAAGCUGAUGAAAAAGAUGGACAUGGAUUAUGCCUUUUCCUCUGCCAAUGCUAUGAGAAUACCUUGGUUCACUAGAAGAAAUGCUGACAGGUAAAAAUGAAUAGAAUAUCAUAAUUUUUAUUCAAAUAGGAUAGCAAAUGCUUGUAAAAUAUUCCUAAAAUUGUGCAUAACCUUUGAUUCAGAUAAAUCGCUUUUAAGAAUAUAGAAAUAAUCAUGUGUUUGAGCCCGGAGUUUGCUGCCUAACCAUGGCACAUUAACAUAGGUAAAAUUAGGAACAACUUGAAUGUCCAAGUGUGGUCUGAAUGAAUAUAUUGAGGUAUACACUAGUAAAAAUGUAAGUAGGUGGACUCAUACCUUCGCAGCAAUGAUACACUCUUGUAGGCAUUGAAAAUGUGUUGAUACUAAUCUAGAUACUGAGCAUAAAGAAUUAAGGAAGAAAAACAAGGUCUAUGAUCGUAUUGAAUUUAUAUUAUGUAUGGAAGAAUUGAUAGUGACAGAAAAGUACAUUUAACAUAUAUUUUUAAGAUAAAAAUUAGGUGGCUAAACCUGGGUUUCCCAGGAAGCAAAUCUAAUGGCAGAUGGCUUAUGUACUAUUGCUUUAUUAGCAAGUGCCAUCCCAGGAAAGAGAAGUGACAGAGCAGGGGAGUAAGGCAGGGAAGAAAGGGAGAGCCAACAGGAGGAGAAGGCAUUAUUGAUAUUGAUAGUGAUAUUGGUCACUGCUGAGUUAAACUGAUUGCUGGUUAAGUGAGGCUGAGCCCUCCUCAAGUAGCCAUGUAAAGCAUCUCUCUAGACUCUGUAGAGUAAGGGUUGGGAGCAGAAAGGGGGAAGAAUGUGUCCAUUGGCUUCUAUAUCUAUUGGUCAUUUUUUUCCCUCUGGGGUGUUAAUUCUUCCACACUUCCAGGUUAUUCAUGUGUGGACAGGCACUGAGUAGAUGCAUCUGUGGGCAUCCCCAAGGCAUUUCAGGUAUGCAUGUUUGAAGUAGGUCAAAGCCCACCCAGGAGAUGCCUGGGUGUUUGAUGCAUGUAGAACACUGAUUGA